UUGGCAACGUCUCAUGUGACUCUUAAACGUUGUACUGUUCUUAACCCUGCUACUCUUUUGCUAACUUACGAUGAUGGGGAACCACACGCUCUGAUGUGCCUUUACUGAAUGCUGACCUGGAGCUGUUUGUUGAUGGCUCAACCCCCAAAAGUCACCACAGGGCAUUGGUGGCCUACGCAGUCACUACUGCUGUAGAUACUUUAGAGAGUGCAAAUCUGCCGUCUUAUCUGUCAGCUCAGGCUGCAGAAUUGUUUGCACUGACUAGGGCGCACUGACUAUUCUAGCUAAGGAUAAAACUGUUACCAUUUAUACUGUUAGCAGAUAUGCGUUUUGGUUGGUGCAUGAUUUUGGAUCAUUGUGGCAGCAUCGUGGGUUCCUUACUUCAUCUGAUCAAUAAGAAGACUGGUCUGCCCAUGAUCAACUUGUAUACAGACAGAGAGACAGGGAAGCUGAAGGUCGAGGCCACCGUGUCCUUUGACUGCCAAAGCUGCCAUCGACUGGUUUGAUGGGAAGGACUUCAAAGGGAACCCCAUCGAGGUGUCCUUUGCGACCCACAGGGCGGACUUCGGUGUAGGCCGGGGUGGCGGCGGUAGCGGCAUAAGAGAUGGACGAGGAGGGCCGAUGGGUCGUGGCUGGUUUGGAGGUGGUAGAAGUGGUGGUGGUUUCUCUGGCGACAAUGGUGGCCGUGGCAAUGGAGGACAGCAGAGAGCUGGAGGCUGGAAGUGUUCCAACCCGGUGUGUGGGAACCUGAACUUUUCGUGGAGGAAUGAGUGUAACC